AUUUAUCUAAUAUAUAAAGUAUAUUUGACUUCCAAUCAAAAAGUUUGUCUAAAAACAAGAUAAAUA
rnacentral:tRNA from 1 species